AGCAGGUCUCCUAUGCUGGUUUUUCAUAUUUUUGCACCAUAUCAAGAAUCCAAAGAAGAACGAGGAAAAGAAAAAGUAAAGGACUAAAUUGUAAGGUUUAGUUACAUUUUGUAUCAAGUACUUAUCUAGUCACUCGAGGAUCGAAGGAAAUGUCGGAGGCCGAUCACACUAUCAAAGAAAUAACUCGGUAUAACUAGACGUUUUGUUUUGGGUAUGGCAUGUAUAGAAACUUAGCUACUUUUGGUAUAAUAUGAAUAAUGAAUGAUGUGUAAA